ACGUGAACAGCAUUUGGACGUGGGUGAGUCGGUCCUAAGAGAUGGGCGAAAGCCUGGUUAGUAAGGGUGCAGAUGUGCUGUCUUUUCAACGGGGCAUGCAUAUCCUGGUUUGGUUCUUCACGGGACCUGCCAUAGGUGGCACCAGCUCUCGAAAGGGCAUCGGGUUAAUAUUCCCGAACCAGACACCUGGAUGCUGCCCGUUGACUGGGYCUCUUCACGGGGGCUUGGUUGGCGGGUGGAGCACGGCAACGUAUAUGUAUGUGUGUAUACUCGGCGACGCUUGCGAUAGCCCUGGGAAGAGUUGUCUUUUCUUCUUAACCGUACCAACCGUGUGCACAGCCCUGGAAGCAGUUUACCUUGAGAGAGGGCUGGAGGUCGGGUAAAGCGCUGCACUUAUUGCAGCGUCCAGUGCGCUGUCGAGAGCCCUUGAAAAGCUGAGUCAGGACUGGACCAUGUUAGUCUCGUGUCUGGCCGUACCCAUCACCGCAUCAGGUCUCC
rnacentral:rRNA from 1 species